AGCUAGAGUUUGAUCCGUGGCUCGAGGACGACGCUGGCGGCGUGCCUAACACAUGCAAGUCGAACGGGGUCAUUUGCUUAAUCCUUCGGGAAAGCGGCUUUUGACUUAGUGGCGAACGGGUGAGUAACACGUGAGCAAUCUGCCUCUCAGAGGGGGAUACCGUCUGGAAACGGACGUUAAUACCGCAUAACGUAUUUUGAUCACAUGGUCUUAAUACCAAAGGAGCAAUCCGCUGAGAGAUGAGCUCGCGUCUGAUUAGCCAGUUGGCGGGGUAACGGCCCACCAAAGCGACGAUCAGUAGCCGGACUGAGAGGUUGAACGGCCACAUUGGGACUGAGACACGGCCCAGACUCCUACGGGAGGCAGCAGUGGGGAGUAUUGCGCAAUGGGGGAAACCCUGACGCAGCAACGCCGCGUGUGGGAAGAAGGUCUUCGGAUUGUAAACCAUUGUUCUGUGGGACGAUACAAGACGGUACCACAGGAGAAAGCUCCGGCUAACUACGUGCC
rnacentral:rRNA from 1 species